rnacentral:rRNA from 1 species
UACGUAGGGUGCGAGCGUUGUCCGGAAUUAUUGGGCGUAAAGAGCUUGUAGGCGGUUUGUCGCGUCUGCUGUGAAAUCUCGAGGCUCAACUUCGAGCUGUCGGUGGAAACUGUCUGGCUAGAGUCCGGAAGAGGAGAAUGGAAUUCCUGGUGUAGCGGUGAAAUGCGCAGAUAUCAGGAAGAACACCCGUGGCGAAGGCGGUUCUCUGGGACGGUACUGACGCUGAGACGCGAAAGCGUGGGGAGCGAACAGG